CCCGAGCCCGGCGGCACUCGCAGGCCUGGCGGCUGCGCGGCUCAGCCUCAGGGCCUGGGCGCCAGCACCCUAGCCGGGCCAGAGCCCCAAUCAUUAUAGGGUCCGUCACGGAAAUUGCGGGCCGAGGGGAAUUCAAAUUCAGAUUCCCAUGGAAUCCACCACUUUGGGAUCCUCACCCUUGAUCUCUUCCAUUCUCACGGGGAGGCUUUGCCUGGACCGAGCUUUUCUAGCCUCAGGUCCUCGGCGUCGCCUCUGCCCAACGAGUUAGCAAACUCCGGGGUAAGAAUGUGAGUAUUUGGCUCUCACUGUGUGGCCGGCCUUUGCUCAAGCUUUGCAGAGUUGCCCCUCUUGACAAUUCCGUGAUCGUACUUACCAAGUGCGAUCCACCCUUUAAGGAUUUGGGAAGUGUCAUUCCCUUGAGGUCACACACCUAGUUAGUGCCUGAGCUGAGUCUGAGCCACAGAAUUGCUUAUAAAUGUUCAAUUCACGUUCCAGCCUCAAUCCAAGAGAGUUUGUUACUGUUGUUUCUUUUUUUUUUUUAACCUAAAUACCUUAUCUGAACAUAAAAGGCAUAAACUUGGUGUAAAUUAAUACAAAUGUAAGUAAGCCUUGGGUCAAAAUUGUCCCAAAAUCUGCAUACGCCUCUGGUAACAUAAAGGCAAGUAAAUCAGCACAGCCCUGUUUCAACAGAGUGAUGCCCGUGGGCUUCUACGCUAGAAGACGAUUUACACCACCUUGCUGUGCCCUAAGCAGGGGCUAACCGGGCAAAUGGAGACCACUUCAAGUAUUUCCUAUCAGACAACGAAACUCAAGGAAAUGACCUCAGACGACACAAGAACUCAGGAGCUGGGCAGCGGUGGGUGAGGUUGUGCAGAAAUGAGCAAGCAUGGCCCCUUGCUGGAAACGGAAAGGGAGGAGACAGAGGGACUGGGGCCCAGGGGCCCGGCAGGAUGGCCAACCUGGGAGCUGUGGCCACAGAGGAGAAACAGCUACUGCCACAGAAGACAUUUAUG